CGGAACGUGCCGAGUAAUGGGGGAUAACGCAGCGAAAGUUGUGCUAAUACCGCAUACGCCCCGAGGGGGAAAGCAGGGGAUCUUCGGACCUUGCGUUAUUCGAGCGGCCGACGUCUGAUUAGCUAGUUGGUGGGGUAAAGGCCUACCAAGGCGACGAUCAGUAGCGGGUCUGAGAGGAUGAUCCGACACACUGGGACUGAGACACGGCCCAGACUCCUACGGGAGGCAGCAGUGGGGAAUUUUGGACAAUGGGGGCAACCCUGAUCCAGCCAUUCCGCGUGAGUGAAGAAGGCCUUCGGGUUGUAAAGCUCUUUCGGCAGGAACGAAACGGCGGGCUCUAACAUAGCCUGUUAAUGACGGUACCUGAAGAAGAAGCACCGGCUAACUACGUGCCAGCAGCCGCGGUAAUACGUAGGGUGCGAGCGUUAAUCGGAAUUACUGGGCGUAAAGCGUGCGCAGGCGGAUUGUUAAGCAAGACGUGAAAUCCCCGGGCUUAACCUGGGAAUGGCGUUUUGAACUGGCAGUCUAGAGUGCGUCAGAGGGGGGUGGAAUUCCACGUGUAGCAGUGAAAUGCGUAGAGAUGUGGAGGAACACCGAUGGCGAAGGCAGCCCCCUGGGAUGACACUGACGCUCAUGUACGAAAGCGUGGGUAGCAAACAGGAUUAGAUACCCUGGUAGUCCACGCCCUAAACGAUGUCAACUGGUUGUUGGGGGAGUGAAAUCCCUUAGUAACGAAGCUAACGCGUGAAGUUGACCGCCUGGGGAGUACGGUCGCAAGAUUAAAACUCAAAGGAAUUGACGGGGACCCGCAUCAAGCGGUGGAUGAUGUGGAUUAAUUCGAUGCAACGCGAAAAACCGUUACCUACCCUUGACAUGUCCGGAAUCCUGCAGAGAUGC
rnacentral:rRNA from 1 species